GACGUCUUUUCCUCCCUUAACGCCGCCGUGAGCACGCCGGUCCCGGCGCGAGCGGGAGCUCCGGGCCCGCGCGGCGGCGCUCGGGAGCGCGCGGGCGCCGUGACGUGGCGCCCCAGGGUUGCCAUGGUGCCGUGAGGAGCCGCCAUAGCCACGGCCAUGGCGCCGCCCGCGCCCCCCCCUUCUCGCGUCUUCGCCGAGCUCGACCUGGCCCCGUCCCCGGCGGGACGCGUGGAGCCUGCGGCGCUGCCCGGGCGGGAGGUGCAUGUGAGCGGCAGCGCGGAGCUGAGCGCCCGCCCGGACCGGGCGCGGGUGUCGCUGCGGCUCGGCAGCCGCAAGGAGGCGGCCGGGGCGGCGCGGAGCAGCGUGUCCCGCCGGCUGCAGUACAUCGCGCAGACCGCCCGCCUAAACGGCAUCCCGGAAGAAAAUAUGACUGUAACAGAAGAUUUUAGCAGAGUAGAAAAUACUUACCAAAUGGAAGCAGAGGUCUGUAUCAUAUUCAGUGAUUUUGGAAAAAUGCAGAAUGUUUGCAAUCUACUCAUUGAAAAGCUAGGAACCUCUGUUACCAUCAAUCCACCUCAUUUCUACCAUACACCAGAAGCCAUAGACUCACUUCGGCCCAAUGACGAUCUGCUACCACCCUUUUCCUUCACAAGUGACAAUGAAACUCCAAGAGAAGAAGAGACAAGUUCAGAACAUAAUGCUACCUCCAACAACCAUGGUCCCUGGAAAGAGCUAAGGCAGCUUCUGUGUGUGUAUAUACAUGAAUCUUCCAACAAAGAAGUACCUAUGAAAACAAAUCCUGGGCCAGGGAAUAUGGGCCAUGUAUUCGCUGCUGUCCAUAAACAUUCCUGCCCAAAGUAACCCACAAUCUAAACACAAAAAAGUGAUGGAUGAAUACAGAUGGAGUUUAUGAAGCAAUCAGUAUCGAUCAAUGAACAGGCAGUGGCCUCUGCUCAGUGAUUUCAUGAAGAUCUGGAAGUCAGAGGAAGGCUAGGAAAAGUUGGGCUGAAAACCUGGCCGAUGUUUUGAGGGAUUUACAAGGACCAAGUUCAGUAAGCUGCAGCCUAAAGGUCAGAAGGCAUUUUGCUAAGUGCUUGUGACAUGACAGGCAAAGGCAAUUAAACCUCAAAACCAGCAAAAGAUGCUUGCCAUUGCUCUUGAAAUUAAAAACAAUUAAAAUGAACACAAGGCUGGGACAGCAGAACAGUGUAAGGUACUACAUAAAAAGAAUCAAUGUCUGCUGAGAAAUUCUUGGGGGUUCAGCUGGUGGUAACAGUACUGAGUGGAGAAAAGAAAGCAAGGAUGCAGGUGUUUUAGAAGCCAAAGAUGAGGGACAGUUGGAUAAAACUACAUCAGGGAAGGAACCAAAUGCACAAAAUGGGACAAUGUCAGUUCCCAGCUGAACAUGAAUUUUCUGCUAUAGGCGAAGAUUUUCAUGUUUUCCUCAUUUUCACUCCUCUGACUUAAUAAUUAGUGUCUUCCUGCCACUGAAGCAGCAUGUCAGUGGCAUGCAGAGUGUGCAGCACUGCAUUACCAGAUUAGCACUGUCAACAAAGGUUUAGCAUCUGAUUUUCAAAUACAAGGACUUAAGCAAAAGAAAUUUAAAGGCUUCAAGAAUUCUAACAAAAAUGUGUUUUUAAAUAGAUUUACACUCCAAGUAACCAGAUCCUCAAAAACAUUGCUUUUUCACUGAAACUGAUUAAACACAGAGGAUUACUUGCAUUUCUUAAAUGCAGUAAGGAACUCCCACUAGGAUGGCAGGAAUUUGGUCUGCAACAGUGUUUCUGAGGGUAUUUUAACCUGAGUUAUUCUGUGUAUAUAUUAAUAAAGCAAGAGUUUAGUACAUUCAGACCUGUUUCACUGGAGGAUAUCUGGGUUGUAGUUGUUCUUCUGGAGUGUUAGCUUUUACAUCCCAUCCAACAAUGACUCCUGAGUAGCCAAAUCUUCUGUGAAUUAUUACCUGGCCCACACGGAACUUAAUAUAUUCAGGCUUUGGACUGUGAACAUGAGCUGAUUCUAAUUUAACAAAGAAAGAGACUUAGCAAGGAUAAAAGUUUGGUCAGCUAUAUUAAGUAUUUUAACAGAAAUUAUUCUGACUUUACAUGAAGAGAACUGAUAAUUAGAUUAAUAGGGGAAUUAAAGAAGAGCAGGUGCUUUGUUUGUUUCCCCCCAGAAUAUUAAUUACUAUAAUUUACAAAGGAACAUCCACUAAGAAACUUUUCUAUUUGUAUGCAUUUGAUAUUACAUAGGGAUUUUAACAGAGUUUUAGAAAGCAUUAACACGUGUGUGCAUUGACAGUUACUUAAGCCUUACAUACAGUAUUUUACAGUGCUGACUUGUGGUAACUUAUUGUGACAUUAUUUUUGCCAGUUUAGGUCACAGAAUUCUUCUGUUCAGUCUGAUUAGGGACUUUUUUCCAGUAAUAAAGUGGUCAUCUAUUUCUUUUUUCUUCCUUCAAAAUACAUACACUGAGGUAUUCAGUAAAAUACAUACAUAUAGUUACAUCAUAUUGAUACUAUUACACAACACAGGGAAGAGGCCUUGGAUUUUAUGUUUACUGUUUUGUUUACUGAAUAUUAUCAAUCAUGUUUAGAGACACGAAAAAAGGAAAACAGUCUGCCAUUUACAAAUUAAGUAAAGAAAUCCACUAUAGAAGCCUUGUAGACAACAUCAUAAAUAAAUUAUGAAAUUGCAAAAACUUCAAUACCUGCAAGAUAAGAAUGGAGUUUUACUUCAUUGGCACCGCUUUUAGCUUUGUUCUCUCCAUAGUACCAAUUCCUAAAAUGUAACAUUAAUAACUCAACAUACAAACAAGUUCUUUAGAAGCUGAGUUUUAAUAAUAAUCAGAAGGUUAAUUAUUCUGAGUGGGAUACUGCAAAGCCUUUGAUACAAACUUCUUUACAAUUUGAAGCCUGCAUGAGUUUUACAUAAAAACACUUUUAAGGAAUACACAAGAAAAAGGAAUUUGUUCUAACAGGAAAAAAAGAGUAUGAAUCUCAUUUCUUUGAAUAUGUUACUCUACAGUUGCAUUAGAAUUUUUAUAUCAGAGGAAACUCACUAGUUUUAUAGAGGUGAGCAAACACUGCUCUGCAGUGUGAUUCUUCAGUAUCUUUUGUGAAUUUUUUUAAAAUUGGUUUAUACUGGUAUGGACAAGGUGUCUGGCAAUGAGUCCCUGCCUGAGGCUGCAGUAAGUGCAGCUUUUCCUUCUGCACUAGACUGAAUUUCAUCUGAAUGUAAAAGGUGGGCAGCAGGAGAUGGACAUGUUUAGAAAGGGGAAAUGGCUAACAUUUUUCAUUGCUAUAGUGAAAAGGAGAAAGGGUAAAAAAGCAAUGAAAAUAUGGAACAUUUCCUUCUGCUGGCAAUGUAACAGCAGCAGUCUAUGAAGAGGAGUUUGGGUAACAUUCUGCAUCCAUACUAGCCAGCAAACCAUUGGUGCCAAAGAACCACAGGUUGUCCUGGUCUCCUUCCUCUUUGAUGGUGCCUUUCAGUCUUACUCCCUUCACCCUGCCUGCAGGAAAAUGAGAGCAGGUUCCUGUGCAAACAAUGUUUUUUACAAAAGUUUGGGUUUAGCUCAAAUGUAUAGAAAGACUUAAGGCUGACAAGUACCUCUUAACAGAAAGAGGAGUGGGCAAAGUUAAAACAGCAGCUAAUAUAAGUCUCAAAUGACAUUAUUUUUAGAAUAGCAAAUUCUUUAUAAAAUAUUCAGAAGACACAGACAAUAUACUCUACACAAAAUAUAUACAAAUAAUCCAACUAUAUACAAAUAACCAAUGUAUCAUUGCAUCUUUGCAGGCUUUAUUUUAGAUAUGCAUGGAGCUUUCCAUGAAGUUGAGAAGCAAUUUAUGGUGAACCUUAGAAGAGCACAGUUUUUGAUUCCAGUCAUAGACCAUUCCUCUAGCUUUUGCUGGAAGCAAAACUAAGUCAGGAUCCUCCACAGUUCAGAGGACUUGACACCAUUGAUUAUUGUACAUGGAUCAAGAAUAAAGGACAUUUGAAGGUCCAUACAAAGUAAAACCUUUGGAGUAUUUCUACUCCAUGAAUUAAAUCUCACAAAUAAGGCCGUCAACAAACCGAAAGAAGUCCAUGAAGUCUUCUUAAAUUAAAAUGGUUUGUAUGUAUGAAUGGAUAGAAUUUUACUUUUUCUAGACCAAUCACUGUUAUAUGACCAAUAAUCAAAAUUUCACUACUUAGCACACAGAUUUUCUGUCUGUGAUUCCUAAUUCAGAUUUUGAACUUGAACUACAAUAUAGAGCAUAAGAUAUCCAUCCAAUGCUAAAGCAUCUGAUGUGGCUAAUUGUUCUGCCUUCAGAGUCAGAUAAAUUUGAGGAUAACAUGUACAGAAUUACUGCAUGAGUUACAUUUAGUUUCACAUGGAGUUGAGUUUUGAUGUUUGUGUAGAAAGUUCCAGAUGAGUCUCAGAAGUAAAUGAGAGAUAUUUCCUCUUUGUCACUUACUCCCCCACAGCACGCCUUCCUGCUCAGAGCAGACCAUGGCUGAAAUCUCCUAGGUGUGGACAGUAACACCCUACCUUGUCUUUGAGAGCCACAGCUUUAAAUGAUCUGCCCAUGCAUCCAGACUCAAGUAUUUUUUUCUGUGAAUGUGGAUGAACAAGUGGCGUGAACCGCUAUGAAUAGAAGUCCGGUGGUUUUCUCUCAUGUGAUGUUUAUGCAAAAUAUGUCGUAACCCUGUAACCCAGCCUCAUGUCCUGCCUCUCUCUACGCUGUUGGUACUUCAGAGAGCUCCUGGUGCGCCCCUGGCCCGGCAGUGUCACGGCUGGAUGCCGGCACAGCUGAAGCAGGAGCGUCCUCAGUGGUUUCCAUAGCACGCGUGUCAGCAGCAGGAACUCCGGGCUGCCCCUGCUCCAGGGAGUCAAACCCGGCCAUGAGCCCCAUGUGUGUCACGGAUUGCUGUGGUGUAAAUUCAACUGCAACCAGAUCGGCUGAUGGCACCCAAAUCAGAGUGGGAGCAAACAGAGGAGGCAGACAAACUGCAAAUGAUCCAGAGAGAUCGGAGCAAUGGGAACAUUAUAGACAAGAAGAGAGAUUCAUCAGUGGUAAACGUUGAGCCUUACCAAGAGAAAGGAAAUGCUCCAGCCAUCACUUCUCACUGAGCACAGCCCUCCAAAGAGCAAGGCUCUGAAAAAAGCCAAAAAUGUUACCAAGCCAUACCUAGUGAACAUGUGGGAACUAAGGGCCCAGGCCUAGGAUGGAAUUUUGUUGAUGGAUUUAAACCUGUGCAACAUGGCAGGAAUGCCCAAUUGAAAACUCACAUGAAUACUAGCCUACACUAGAAAUACAAAUUCUACCUAAGAAAAAUAUUUUUUUAAUCAGAAUCAUAGAUGGUUUGAGUUGGAAGGGACCUUUUCAAGGGCACCUAAUCCACCCCUCUGCAAUAAGUAGAGACAUCUUCAGCUAGAUCAGGUUGUUCAGAGCAACCUGUUUGCCUCACAGAGCCCACCCCAAGGAGAACAGACUCCUUUGGGACAUUGUGGCUGUGUUUGCAUCACCAAUCCCAGGCUGCAGUAAAUUCUGGGACCUACCAGCUCCCUUGAGCAAAACCUCAGGAGCCAUGUAAACACCUGAUCCUACCUCAGGGUGGCUGAAGGUGUUAGUGUGACUCAAGCAACUUAUUACUACCCAAACGUUAAGACAUCUUCUUAACAUAAAGUAAAUCAAAUUGCAAGAUGCUUCUUUUACAAAAUAGCUUAGUGCCCAUGUGCUUGAGCAGAGAUCUUCAGUGCAAGAGCCAGAAAGAAACCAGCCCUGUGUGUUCUGUCAUGAUGCAGAGGUGGGCAAAGAGGCCAUAGCCAGAGGAAAAUUACAACUUCAUAAAUUAGCAUGCAAGAAAAAAGAAACAAUCCUGACCAUAACACAAUUUCAGAUGAUCUGCCCUUUCUUAGGACAAUGCUUAUGUGAAUUUUCUAGUAACUUUUCCUAAACAACUUAACCACUGAUUUCCCUUGUAAACUUUAUUGAUCAGAAGUUUGGCACACAUUGGUGCACAUUUAACAGCCUCAAACAUUUUACAAGCAUGAAACAGCAUAAAUGUUUUGAGUUCCAGAUAUUUAAUCUUUCCCCAUGCAUGCAGACUAAUUGCUGUCAAUGAAAGACAGCAACAGUACAGACUACACAUCUACCCAGCUCCUCAUGUUGAGAUUUUAGCUGGGUAAAAAUAGGCAGUGUAUUGAGAGGCAAUCAUUAAUUAAGGACUUCUAAGUAGUUCUUUUUUUAAAGCUUUUGACAGCUGUAUUUCAAUUCUUAGCAGUUCAUGGAAGUUUACUCCGUCUUCUUUAAGAGUUAAGAGAAUUCAAGUUUUGAAUAAGGUGCUCAAAUUUCAGAAAAAUAACCCCACUAGAUUUCUCUGCUACAGAAUACAAAUGCAGUAAUUCUUUCUAAUAUUUUAAUCAGAUUCUAACCAGGUUUGCAUUUUAAGUUGUCUUUUUUAUUUUGAAUAUUCUUGUUCAAAGUCAGAUUCCAAGAUCUGAGACAAAACACAAAUUAACAGCUGAGGUUGCCUGGCUCUUGAAUGCUAACAUUGUUUGAAGUCAAUACCUCCAGGAAUAGGCUUCUGCAGAAAUUUGAUGCUGAAUGAGUUGGUUACCUGCCUCUUGCUUUCUCCUUCUUGAGUUUUUUUCAGUUGUUUUCUUGGUUUUUUUGGGUUUUUGUUGUUGUUGUUAUUUAUGUAUCUAGCUAAAGUAAAAUGAGAGGCCAACAGACCAAGUUUAGGUAAAAUCUUCCCAUUUCAGAGACAAGAAAAGGAAGCAUGAAGGAAGUUCAUAUGGCUGUUACCAGAGUAGGAAC